UACGUAGGGUGCGAGCGUUGUCCGGAUUUAUUGGGCGUAAAGAGCUUGUAGGCGGCUCGUCACGUCGGGUGUGAAAACUCGCGGCUCAACCGCGAGCCUGCACCCGAUACGGGCGGGCUAGAGUUCGGCAGGGGAGACUGGAAUUCCUGGUGUAGCGGUGGAAUGCGCAGAUAUCAGGAGGAACACCGGUGGCGAAGGCGGCCUGCUGGGCAGUUGCUGACACUGAGGCGCGACAGCGUGGGGAGCAAACAGG
rnacentral:rRNA from 1 species